GAUGAAGAACGUAGCGAAAUGCGGUACUUGGUGUGAAUUGCAGAAUCCCGUGAACCAUCGAGUCUUUGAACGCAAGUUGCGCCCGAAGCCAUCAGGUUGAGGGCACGUCUGCCUGGGCGUCACAUAUCGUUGCCCAAUGCCUAUUGCAGUGCAAUAGGAAUUUCUAGGGCGAAUGAUGGCUUCCCGUGAGCGUUGUUGCCUCGCGGUUGGUUGAAAAUCGAGUCCUUGGUAGGGUGUGCCAUGGUAGAUGGUGGUCGAGUUAGAACGAUACCGAUCAUGUGCAUGCUCCCCAAAAUAUGGCCUCUAUGACCCACACGCGUCUUUUGACGCUCAUGACGAGACCUCAGGUCAGGCGGGGCUACCCGCUGAAUUUAAGCAUAUCAAUAAGCGGAGGA
rnacentral:misc_RNA from 1 species